UGGGGAAUCUUCCGCAAUGGACGAAAGUCUGACGGAGCAACGCCGCGUGAGUGAUGAAGGUCUUCGGAUUGUAAAGCUCUGUUAAUCGGGACGAAAGAGCCUAGUGUGAAUAAUGCUAGGAAGUGACGGUACCGGAAUAGAAAGCCACGGCUAACUACGUGCCAGCAGCCGCGGUAAUACGUAGGUGGCAAGCGUUGUCCGGAAUUAUUGGGCGUAAAGCGCGCGCAGGCGGAUCUGCCAGUCUGUCUUAAAAGUUCGGGGCUUAACCCCGUGAUGGGAUAGAAACUACAGAUCUAGAGUAUCGGAGAGGAAAGUGGAAUUCCUAGUGUAGCGGUGAAAUGCGUAGAUAUUAGGAAGAACACCAGUGGCGAAGGCGACUUUCUGGACGAAAACUGACGCUGAGGCGCGAAAGCCAGGGGAGCGAACG
rnacentral:rRNA from 1 species